UACAGAGGUCCCCAAGCGUUGUUCGGAUUCACUGGGCGUAAAGGGUGCGUAGGUGGCUAGGUAAGAUUGAUGUGAAAUCCCGGGGCUUAACUCCGGAAUGGCAUUGGUUACUGCUUGGCUAGAGUUUUGGAGGGGGACUGGAAUUCUCGGUGUAGCAGUGAAAUGCGUAGAUAUCGAGAGGAACACCAGUAGCGAAAGCGAGUCCCUGGACAAUUACUGACACUGAGGCACGAAGGCUAGGGGAGCAAACAGGAUUAGAUACCUGGUAGU
rnacentral:rRNA from 1 species